GUGGGGAAUAUUGGACAAUGGGCGAAAGCCUGAUCCAGCAAUGCCGCGUGAGUGAUGAAGGCCCUAGGGUUGUAAAGCUCUUUUACCAGGGAUGAUAAUGACAGUACCUGGAGAAUAAGCUCCGGCUAACUCUGUGCCAGCAGCCGCGGUAAUACGGAGGGAGCUAGCGUUGUUCGGAAUUACUGGGCGUAAAGCGCGCGUAGGCGGUUUUUUAAGUCAGAGGUGAAAGCCCGGGGCUCAACCCCGGAAUUGCCUUUGAAACUGGAAAACUUGAAUCUUGGAGAGGUCAGUGGAAUUCCGAGUGUAGAGGUGAAAUUCGUAGAUAUUCGGAAGAACACCAGUGGCGAAGGCGACUGACUGGACAAGUAUUGACGCUGAGGUGCGAAAGCGUGGGGAGCAAACAGGAUUAGAUACCCCGGUAGUCC
rnacentral:rRNA from 1 species